rnacentral:rRNA from 1 species
GAUGAACGCUGGCGGCGUGCCUAAUACAUGCAAGUCGAGCGAACGGACGAGAAGCUUGUUUCUCUGAUGUUAGCGGCGGACGGGUGAGUAACACGUGGAUAACCUACCUAUAAGACUGGGAUAACUUCGGGAAACCGGAGCUAAUACCGGAUGAUAUUUUGAACCGCAUGGUUCAAAAGUGAAAGACGGUCUUGCUGUCCCUUAUAGUUGGACCCGCGUUGCUUUAGCUAGUUGGUAAGGUAACGGCUUACCAAGGCAACGAUGAUUAGCCGACCGGAAAGGGUGAUCGGCCACACGGGAACGGAGAAACGGUCCAGACUCCUACGGGAGGCAGCAGUAGGGAAUCUUCCGCAAUGGGCGAAAGCCUGACGGAGCAACGCCGCGUGAGGGAUGAAGGUCUUCGGAUCGUAAAACUCUGUUAUUAGGGAAGAACAUAGGUGUAAGUAACUGUGCACAUCUUGACGGUACCUAAUCAGAAAGCCACGGCUAACUACGUG